AAAAAAAAAAAAAAAAAAAAAAAAAGGGUCUUUGCUGUCACAAUUAAGCCUCUCAACAUGAGAUCAUCCUGGAUUGUUUAGAUGGGCCCUAAAUAUCACAACUAGAGUUUUGUUGUUGUUGUUGUUGGUUUGUUUCUUUGUUUUUGUGACGGAGUCUCACUCUAUCACCCGGCUGGAGUGCAGUGGUGUGAUCUUGGCUCACUGCAACCUCCACCUCCCGGGUCCAAGCGACUUUCCUGCCUCACCGUCCUGAGUAGCUGGGAUGACAGGUGCCCCCACCACACCCAGCCUAAUUUUUGUAUUUUUAGUAGAGACGGGGUUUCACCAUGUUGGCCAGGCUGGUCUCGAACUCCUGACCUCAAGCGAACAACUAGCAUUUUUAUAAACUACAGAAGACGGUGGCUAUUCAUCUGCCCCCUCUCUCCUGGGUAUUUGCGUGUCAGGUGCAGAGAUGGAGUCUUCUGAGGGCGCACAUCACAGCGUAGACAGAAAGUUGAGGUUGUACAUGCCGCAGGUUCCAGAUGGAAAUCACUAGUGCCUCCUCUUCUCUCUAAUAGGCACACUAGACACAGCAGGUGCAUUUUGGCGGUGGGAUGAGGUCCGACAGUCACCUUUAUUUUUUAUUUAUGUAUUCAUUAGUAUUAUUAUUUUUUGAGACUGAGUCUUAAACUGUCACCCAGGCUGGAGUGCAGUGGCGGCAUCUCGGCUCACUGCAACCUCCACUUCCCAGGUUCAAGGGAUUCUCCUGCCUCAGCCUCCUGAGUAGCUGGGAUUAUAGGCGCCCAUCACCAUGCCCAGCUAAUUUUUGUAUUUUUAGUAGGGACGGGGUUCGCCAUGUUGGUGAGGCUGGUCUCCAACUCUUUUUUUUUUUUUUUUUUUUUUUUGAGACGGAGUCUCGCUGUCUCCCAGGCUGGAGUUCAGUGCCUCAAUCUCGGCUCACUGCAAGCUCCACCUCCCGUGUUCUCGCCAUUCUCCUGCCUCAGCCUCCCCAGUAGCUGGGACUACAGGCGCCCGCCACCACACCUGGCUAAUUUUUUGUAUUUUUAGCCAUGGGGUUUCACCAUGUUAGCCAGGAUGGUCUCAAUCUCCUGACCUCGUGAUCUGCCUGCCUCGGCCUCCCAAAGUGCUGGGAUUACAGACAUGUGCCACCACGCCUGGCUAAUUUUUUGUAUUUUUAGUAGAGAUGGGGUUUCACCGUGUUGGCCAGGCUGGUCUCGAACUCCUGACCUUGGAUGAUCUGCUCGCCUCGGCCUCCCAAAUUGCUGGGAUGACAGACGUGAACCACCGUGCCUGGCCGACAGUCACCUUUAGAAUGUGAACAGUGGACACUGUGUUGGGGUCUCCUACCUGUGCCUGUGAUGUGGACUGGCCCAUCUCGUCAUGGACAAGUAGAGAUGGGGUUUCACCAUGUUGAGCAGUCUGGUCUUGAACUUCUGACCUCGUGAUCCACCCGCCUCAGCCCCCCAAAGUGCUGGGAUUACAGGCGUGAGCCACCGCGCCCGGCCUGAGACGGCUUUCCAAGGCUGCAGAAAUGAAGUCUGCAAUAGCAGAUCCUCUUUGCCUGGGUUUGCACGUGAUCCAGCAAACCACCCACCGACCCGUUGCCUCAUGUGAGACAUCCUCAGGGAACAGCAAGUCUCGCUGUUCUUGGAAGGGACUUCCAGCCUGGAAAGAAAAGGGAGGGAUAAGAGAGCAUCUGUGGAUCUUCCUGGCAUAUUCCUUCUCCUACAAGAAUUUUGAAGGUCCCUGAUAAGACAUCUUUGAGGUCAGGCAUAAAUCAUCACUUCACAUCUUGACGGCAAUGCAACGAAGACAAGUAUCUGUCUCUUUGGGUCUGUCUAACAAGGAGCAAAGCCUGGCCUCCCACCAGCAUCCAGACAAUAGUGGAUUCCCUCUCCAUAGAUGUCAAAAAAGAAACAGAUGCUCCCGCAGGUGAAAUGAGCUCUGGUCCACAAUGCAACGCAGGCUGUGCAGAAAAUCAAAGAGGAACCAACCCAGAAGUAUCCCCCAGGACAAAUCAUUAAGGGGGAAAAGAUAUAAGAAGGGCCCUAAAUGCAAUGACAGCUGUUCUAAGAGACAGAAGAGGAGACGCAGACACAGAGGAGAAGGCCACGUGUAGACAGAGGCAGAGACUGCAGUGAUGUGGCCACAAGCCCAGGGAUGCCUGGAGCCCCCAGGAGCUGGGAGAGGCAGGAAGGAUCCUCCUCUAGAGCCUCCAGAAGGAACUGGAUACAAUUGGAAUGGGUUAUAUGGUGAUCCCCAAAAUAUAUGUUUAUUUCCUUUUCCCCAGAACCUAUAAAUGCAAUCUUACUUGGAAACAGGAUCUCUGCAAAUGUAAUUAGUGAAGGAUCUUGAAAUAAAACCUGUCCUAGAUUAGGGGGUCCUAAAUGCAAGGACAGGUGUCCUUCUAAACACAGAAGGGGAGACCCAGACAGAGGAGAAGGCCACAUGGAGACAGAGACUGGAGUGGUGUAGCCACGAGCCCAGGAAUGCUGGGAGCCCCUGGGA
rnacentral:lncRNA from 10 species